rnacentral:rRNA from 1 species
CCCUUAGAUGUUCUGGGCCGCACGCGCGCUACACUGAUGCAUUCAACGAGCCUAUCCUUGACCGACAGGUCCGGGUAAUCUUUGAAUCUGCAUCGUGACGGGGAUAGAUUAUUGCAAUUAUUAAUCUUCAACGAGGAAUGCCUAGUAGGCGCAAGUCAUCAGCUUGCGUCGAUUACGUCCCUGCCCUUUGUACACACCGCCCGUCGCUCCUACCGAUGGGGUGUGCUGGUGAAAUGUUCGGAUCGGCCGUUUGUCGCGGUUUCCGCGUCAUGUGGCUGAGAAGUUCAUUAAACCCUCCCACCUAGAGGAAGGAGAAGUCGUAACA